rnacentral:rRNA from 1 species
CCUACGGGGUGCAGCAGUCGAGAAUCAUUCACAAUGGGGGAAACCCUGAUGGUGCGACGCCGCGUGGGGGAAUGAAGGUCUUCGGAUUGUAAACCCCUGUCAUGUGGGAGCAAAUUAAAAAGAUAGUACCACAAGAGGAAGAGACGGCUAACUCUGUGCCAGCAGCCGCGGUAAUACAGAGGUCUCAAGCGUUGUUCGGAAUCACUGGGCGUAAGGCGUGCGUAGGCUGUUUCGUAAGUCGUGUGUGAAAGGCGCGGGCUCAACCCGCGGACGGCACAUGAUACUGCGAGACUAGAGUAAUGGAGGGGGGACCGGAAUUCUCGGUGUAGCAGUGAAAUGCGUAGAUAUCGGGAGGAACACUCGUGGCGAAGGCGGGUUCCUGGACAUUAACUGACGCUGAGGCACGAAGGCCAGGGGAGCGAAAGGGAUUAGAUACCCGAGUAGUC